GUAGGCGGUUUGUCGCGUCUGCUGUGAAAUCCCGAGGCUCAACCUCGGGCCUGCAGUGGGUACGGGCAGACUAGAGUGCGGUAGGGGAGAUUGGAAUUCCUGGUGUAGCGGUGGAAUGCGCAGAUAUCAGGAGGAACACCGAUGGCGAAGGCAGAUCUCUGGGCCGUAACUGACGCUGAGGAGCGAAAGGGUGGGGAGCAAACAGGCUUAGAUACCCUGGUAGUCCACCCCGUAAACGUUGGGAACUAGUUGUGGGGUCCAUUCCACGGAUUCCGUGACGCAGCUAACGCAUUAAGUUCCCCGCCUGGGGAGUACGGCCGCAAGGCUAAAACUCAAAGGAAUUGACGGGGACCCGCACAAGCGGCGGAGCAUGCGGAUUAAUUCGAUGCAACGCGAAGAACCUUACCAAGGCUUUGACAUAUACGAGAACGGGCCAGAAAUGGUCAACUCUUUGGACACUCGUAAACAGGUGGUGCAUGGUUGUCGUCAGCUCGUGUCGUGAGAUGUUGGGUUAAGUCCCGCAACGAGCGCAACCCUCGUUCUAUGUUGCCAGCACGUAAUGGUGGGAACUCAUGGGAUACUGCCGGGGUCAACUUGGAGGAAGGCGGGGAUGACGUCAAAUCAUCAUGCCCCUUAUGUCUUGGGCUUCACGCAUGCUACAAUGGCCGGUACAAAGGGCUGCAAUACCGUGAGGUGGAGCGAAUCCCAUAAAGCCGGUCCCAGUUCGGAUUGAGGU
rnacentral:rRNA from 1 species